GCUGGGUAUGGUGGCGCAUACCUGUAAUCCCAGCUACUCGGGAGGCUGAGGCAGGAGAAUCACUUGAACUCAGGAGGCGGAGGCUGCAGUAAGCCAAGAUCGCACCACUGCAUUCUAGCCUGGGUGAUAGAGUGAGAUUCCGUCUCAA
rfam:Homo sapiens chromosome 6 genomic contig, GRCh38 reference assembly alternate locus group ALT_REF_LOCI_4.